rnacentral:tRNA from 1 species
GGGGCAUUAGCUCAUCUGGCUAGAGCGCAACACUGGCAGUGUUGAGGUGACGAGUUCGAGUCUCGUAUGCUCCA